UAACUCCGUGCCAGCAGCCGCGGUAAUACGGAGGGGGUUAGCGUUGUUCGGAAUUACUGGGCGUAAAGCGCGCGUAGGCGGAUUAGUCAGUUAGAGGUGAAAUCCCGGGGCUCAACCCCGGAACUGCCUUUAAUACUGCUAGUCUUGAGUUCGAGAGAGGUGAGUGGAAUUCCGAGUGUAGAGGUGAAAUUCGUAGAUAUUCGGAGGAACACCAGUGGCGAAGGCGGCUCACUGGCUCGAUACUGACGCUGAGGUGCGAAAGUGUGGGGAGCAAACAGGAUU
rnacentral:rRNA from 1 species